rnacentral:rRNA from 1 species
GGGAAACUGCCUGAUGGAGGGGGAUAACUACUGGAAACGGUAGCUAAUACCGCAUAACGUCGCAAGACCAAAGAGGGGGACCUUCGGGCCUCUUGCCAUCAGAUGUGCCCAGAUGGGAUUAGCUAGUAGGUGGGGUAACGGCUCACCUAGGCGACGAUCCCUAGCUGGUCUGAGAGGAUGACCAGCCACACUGGAACUGAGACACGGUCCAGACUCCUACGGGAGGCAGCAGUGGGGAAUAUUGCACAAUGGGCGCAAGCCUGAUGCAGCCAUGCCGCGUGUAUGAAGAAGGCCUUCGGGUUGUAAAGUACUUUCAGCGGGGAGGAAGGCGAUAAGGUUAAUAACCUUGUCGAUUGACGUUACCCGCAGAAGAAGCACCGGCUAACUCCGCGCCAGCAGCCGCGGUAAUACGGAGGGUGCAAGCGUUAAUCGGAAUUACUGGGCGUAAAGCGCACGCAGGCGGUCUGUCAAGUCGGAUGUGAAAUCCCCGGGCUCAACCUGGGAACUGCAUUCGAAACUGGCAGGCUAGAGUCUUGUAGAGGGGGGUAGAAUUCCAGGU